rnacentral:lncRNA from 1 species
ACAGAUGAAGAAACUGAGUUUUAUAGAAGCAAGUUCCUUUUCCAAAAUUAUACAUGUCAAAGCUGGGAUGCAGAUGCAAAAUGAGGUCUCUUGACUUCAAGAGCAUGUUUUUUCUAUACAUCAUCUGCCUUUCUAAUGGUCCUUUAUGACAUUCUUUGUUUUGUGAUUCUAAGGCCUUUUCCAGUCUUCCUAUUUUUUGUUCUGUGAUUCUCAGUGUUCUCUCAGCUUUGACAUUUUCUAUCCUAUGACCAAACUGGACCUCCUCUGUAUAGUGUGCACUGGCAAGGGGCACCUUUGAGCCAGCCAAGGUGAUGACUGUCAAUAGUGGAGAUAAACUUUUGGCCUAGUCCAAACAAGGGGUAUCUACCCACUGACAGGCCUCUUCCCUCCUGAGAUGAGGACCUCUGCUCUUGCAGGGAAGGAUUGAGCCUUACAGAUUCCACUCCUGACUGCAGGAUUUUUUCCUCUCCACUUGUGGUUUCAUGUCAGAGAGAAUGAAUGUCUUUGCUGCUGUUGCUAGAAUUUUAACAUAAUAGUUGGCAAUUCCCUCCAGAUGACAGAGGCAGGCAAGAAAGCAAACUGCUCUCUCUGCAGGAUGGAUGUGUCUAUGCAAAGAAUUCAGUGGCUCCAACCCUGACUUAGAGGUAGAAGAAGGCUUUAAAAACCUUCUGACCUACCUCCUCUCUCUUCAUUUUACUAAGAAGGAAAUCAGGUCUUAGAAAAAAGAGCUUGGUCACAGAGACAGAGGGUCCAAAUCCUGGCUCCUGACCAACCACAUAUAACUGCUUCUGGCAGUUGGGUGGUCUUUACAGGGAGGGUGAGAAGGGAAGGGGGGAAGGAGAGAGAUGAAAAAGGGAGUUCAGACUAUAAAGACAAAAGAAAGGCGAAAAGCCUUUCAUCACCAUUAAGAGAAAAGGCAGAUACAUUUUUCUUGUUUUCUGAUUCCUCUGGUUUCCUGCUGAUCUGGUGAGCUCACAGGGGUUCCUAACCAGCUGGGCUGGGCUGGGUGCCCAUGACUCAGUGCUUAGAAAUUGCCUAUCAGGUCGCUGAGUCAUUCCUUUGUUCUAGGAACAAUUCCUCCAAGCCUCCAACAAAGGCAGGGAAAAUGCAGAUGGAAGAAAGGAGAAUGUUUAUCAAAGUGGGGGGAGUUAGCCACAAGGAAAGUCUAUACCCUAGACAAGCCAAGUCUAAACAAGACUGGAAAAAAGAAGUGGGAAUAUGGAGAUGAUGUAGGGGAGCAGAAAUAACCCAAGCUUGGAUAGGGGUCAAAAAUCCUGACUUCUGUUCUCAGUUCUGCCAGACAGUCUGUGUGAGGGUGGGCAGGAUCCCAUCCUUAAAAUGAAAGAUUUGGACUAGAAGAUCUCUAAAUAGCUCCAAUCUACCUAACUGUCCCUUCCUACUUCACAUGAUCCAAAUAAACUGGGUCACGCUGUGACCCUUAUUUUCAUCCUUUCUUUCCAAUCUAUACUCUUGUUCAUAUUGUCUCCCAUUCUUGGACUCCCCUGGAUUCCCAUAUCUUUUUGGCUAAAAUCCCUCUAUCCUUCCCAGUUCAUAUGUUACCUCUACCAUAAAGUUUUCCUUAAUUCACUGAGGCUUCUUCCUUCCCAAUCUCUUGUCCUCAUAUUUCUCAAAGAACCUUGCCAGGAUCUCUUCUCUGGGACUGUUUCAGUUUCCCUUCAUAGUUUCUGGCUUAUCUAUCGAUUUCUUUGGCAGACUAUGAUCUACUUGAAAGGAGGAUUUACAUUGCAUCUGUUUUUGUACUGGGUGGGGAUUGUCCAAUAGGGAUGGGAUCUCCAAACACCUUUCCAUAUUCAUUAAAAUGCUUGAUUUUCUUCUGAAAGUAGAUGAGACCAAUCCUUGCAGAGUUUGAUAAAAAUCAAUCUGGGUCUUUUGUGGAUUCCUACACAACGAGGCAGUGCCCUGCAUUAUAGUAGGCAGAAUAUCUGACCUGGUGUAUCAGAGUUCAAAUCCACCCAUUGAUACUGUCACUGUAUGGUUAAGAUUAAUCCAUCGUGUCCAUUUUAAAAAUAGCUCCAAAAUGAAAAACAGAGACACUGACAGUCUCACCAGGUAAAGUAAUGUGCCCUGUAAUGGAAUAAUAUAUUAAGUUUAUAUGAAAUUUGAAUGAAUGAAAUAUAAAAAUAUAUGAAAAGUGGUAUAUAAUGUAAAUGUAUAUAUGUGUGUACAUAUGUGUUUAUGUAUCACACAACCCCACUAGGAUUGGGUCAGGAGUAUAAGGGGUGAUGCUACCAGAUGGAUUCUGAGCUCAACAUUUCAAUAAUCUCAUAUGAUAUGAGUUCUCCCACUACUAAAACAAAUGCCCACUUAUCUGUGCUUUCUCAUUUUAUGCAACUUGUGUCCCUUUGCCUUUUAAAAUUUCCCCAUAAAGGAUCUUUUCUGUCACUGAUUGGUUCCAUAUCUGGGACCAUAGAUUUAGUGAGGGAUUCUAGAACCCAUAAAUGGUCUAACCCUUUCAUUUUACAAAAAAGUAAAUUGAGGCUCAGAGAGAUUAUGAAAUUUGCCCAAAUUCACCCAGCAAAUAUAUGUCAGAGUUAGGCCUUGAAUCUGAGACUUUUGACUACAAAUCAAACCAUCUUCCCAUUACACGCUUCAUAUUCAUAACCAGCUUAGUUCUUCCCUUCCCAAACAUUUCCCAUAACUUUUGUAUCCUUUCCCCAAAAAAACAUAUCCCAUUAGUUUUUAUAAACUUUAUUUCAUCCAAGUCAUUGCUAGUACAGUUUUAUCUGAGGUCUUCUUGUUAUAGCAAUUGCUUUAUAUCUAUUUUUUUUAAUGAUGAUAAUCAGUCAGUGUCUUUUAGUUUAUUCAUUUCACAUUUAUUUUUUGGUACCAACAUUCUGUAAGAAGAGGUCAAAUUGGAAUUAGUGUAAUUUUACAUACAGUGUGUUACAAUAUUGUUUUUUCUUCUAAUUAGUGCUAAUUUUGACAUUUGUUCUAUCUAACCAUUGCUAAUUUCACACAGAGGGCAAAUUUUGAAAUGCCUCCCCCUAUUACCAGUUAUAUACUGCUUUUAAAAAUAUAGUUAAUUAUGAUGUGUUCGGGGCCCCUGAAUACUUUAACAUCUCUUCUUGAAGAAUUAUUUGGAGUAUAGGUACAAGGUUCCUGAAUAUUGCACAUAUUCUCUUUCUUCCUUGUGUUUAUCUUCUAAAUGAAGUCAUGGAAUAAAAUUGUAAAAUGUUAACUUGUUGCUUACAAACUUUGAGGUGCUGUGUGUACACAUAUAUACAUAUAUGUAUUAUGUAUGUAUAGUAAUUAUUAUUAGGCUCAGGUUUGCAAAACCUCAAUGCUUCCCUCAUAAUCCUAUUUCUAGUGUGACAUUUUUAAGGGAAAAAAAAGGCAAACAAACAAAAACAACUAAUAUAUGGUGUGUGAGUAUAUGCAACAUUUCACACCCAUAUUUCCCUGCUUCUCCAAACAAAGGAAGGAAGAGAAUUUCCCAUAUUUUGUGGGCGUGGGGAGGGGAAAAGGGAUCAAACUUGUUCACUAUAAUUUCAUAGUAUUCUGGUUGGCUUUGUUGUAGCCUUGGGGUAUAUUACUUUUCUUAUUCUGUUUACUUCAUGCUACAUCAGUUCUGCAAGUCUUCCCAUGUUUCUUUUAAUUCCUCAUAUUUAUUGCUUUUCAUUUUGUGAUUUUCCAUUAUAUUCAUAUGCCACAAUUGGUUUAGCCAUUAUCUCUAUUUGAUGGGUACCACUUUGUUUUUAAUUCUUUUCUACAACACAAAGUGCUGCUAUGAAAAUUUUGGUACAUAUACAAACUUUUUAUUUCUGUUUUUGACCUUCUUUGGAUAUAUAUUGAGGUGUUGAAUAUUCCCCUGUUUCUUAAGAAAAUGAUUUCAAGAUGGCUGGGGAAAAUUUUCAACCUAAUUAACUGCCCCCAACCCAAAGUUAUUAUAUAUAGUGAGGGACCUGCUAGUCUUGGUAUAUGGAAUGAUGAAUUCCCAAUAACUCAUCUCUCUGAAUAGAAACAAAAUCUUUGGGGUCAGAAAGCAGAGUUCAGUCAUUGAGGUCUGAGUUCCACAAGUUAUAGUAUCUUGGAUAUUGGUCCUAAUUCUUUUCUCUAGCCUCAUUUAUCUGUAUUGGGGUGGGGAUAGGGGAAUAAGGAGAGAGGUGCAGAAAAAGAAUAGAGCAGCUAAAUGACCAAUUUUCUCAGCCAUCAUGAAUUUGUAAGAUCUUAUUAGAAAAGGAAGCAGAUUCACUCCCCAAUUCGCUCUCCUUCUCUCCCUCCCUUCAUGCAUCUCUUCCUCCCUUUCUCACUCCCUCCUUUCCUUUUUUCCUUUUCUCCUUUUUUCAUCUCCCCUUCCUUUCUUCCAUUUUUUUCUGCCAUCACUCUCUCUUUAUCUCUCCCUUCUUCCUUCCCUCCCUCUUUUUCUUCCUCCCUCUUUCCUUUCUUCUUUCCUUUUUCUUCCUUCUUUUCUUCCUCCCUUUCUUCCUUCUUCCCUACCUUCCUUCACGCUCUUCCUUCCUUCCUUCCUUCCUUCCUUCCUUCCUUCCUUCCUUCCUUCUUUCCUUUCUCCUUUCCUUUUUUCCUUCUUUCUUCCCUCCAUAUCUGGAGGGCAGGGCCUGUUAUCUUCUCCUGUCUCCCUAAUUACCCCAGGCUGGGUACAGGGGACUCCCUACAGACUCUGGUUAGGUUGAUUGAUGGCUGCUUCUCUCCUCCCUAUGACUGCUUUCGCACUAUAAGACAUCCCUGCCUGUGCUGGUAACUGCAGCUACACAUCUCCUCCCAUCCCGCUUCUGGCUGCAGUGAGGUUUCAACAAUCCAGUCAUUUGAAACCUAGAUAAUAUUUUAGCUCAACUCCACCACCAUUAUGAAUUCAUUUGACAUUCAGUGUGCAGCAAUAACUAUGAAUUUCUGGCUAUUGAAUGUCACAGACUUCCUCUAGCACUAACCCAGCAUUUCAUUACCAUGCACCAUAGCUAAGCUUGCGCAUAAUGAGAGUUCUCCGGACCUAUCUCUUCAGACUUCCUCUUGCUUCUGCAAUCAGAGUUGCUUUGCCCAUGUUGUUCAGCCUUCUCUUCCCUGAAGAAUGGGCUCCGUGGAUAGAGAACCUUCUGAAACCUUUUUUCAUUACUCAUAUAAUAAUCACAACUCUCAUGCAUGUAACACAAGACAGUUUGCAAAGCAUUUUCCUCACAAUCCCUCCUGUAAAGGGAUAAUGCAAGAAGUACUGCUGCAUAUUUUGCAGCAAUAAUAAUUCAUAAUAAUAACUAUUAUUUAUAAAGCACUUUAAGGUUUCCAAAGUACUUUACAAAUAUUUUCUUCAUUUGUUCUUCACACUUAUGUUGUAGUUGAUAUUACUUUCUCCAUUUUCCAUAUGAAAAAACUGAGCCUGGGAGAGAAUAAAUUAUUUUUCUUGGGACACACAACUAGUAAAUGUCUGAAGCAGGAUUUGAAUAUAGAUCUUCCUGAUGCCAAAGACAGCACUCUAUUUAUUAUGCCACCAAGUUUCCCUGAAUAAAGAAAUUAAUGCACAGACAGGUCAAGUGUCACACAAAAGUGAUUUCCCAGGUCACCUGGCUGGUAAAGGUCAGGACUGCAAUUCCAACUAAGGUGUCCUGAUCUUGAAUCCAGAAUUCUUUUCAUUGCAUAAUACUGCACUGAUCUUGCUAACAUCUUACAAAUUAUGCGCACAUGAGCCUAUCUGAGUUAAGCCUUUCUGCAUUUAAGACAAUAGACUCAAAAGGAGACAGAGAAAAAGGCAAGGAAAAUUAUUCAAAAAUCAUGCUAAUUUUUGUAUAUCUAAUCCAAAAGAUGGAGUCUCAAUUCUUACUGUAACUCAGCAGCUCCAGAAACUAGGUGGCAUCUAAGUAAGUGAUUUAAAUAAAUGUCCAGAAUUAACCUAUAUUGAAUUGUUUGCUGUUUAUGGGAGGGGGUAGGAGGGAUAAAAAUUUGAACAUAAGGUUUUGCGAUGUUGAAAACUAUCUUUGAAUAUAUUUGGUAAAAUAAAAAGCUGUUUAAGAAAAAUAAAAAUAAAAAUAAAAUAAAUAAAUGCCCAGAACUGGCAAUGAUUCUUUCCUCCAAAGGCAGAACCCAGUCAGUCAGUCAAUAAACAUUUAUUAAGUGGCUCUUAUUGUGAAAUACUAGAAAUAUGGAUUCAAAGAAAAGUAAAUGACAGAGAUAAAACACUAGUUUAAGGGGAGAGAAAAGAAGCAAGGAAACAAGCACUAAUAAAGCACCUGUCAUAUACCAGACACCAUGCUAAGCAUUUUACAAAUAUCUCAUAUGAUCCUAGUAACAAGCACAAGAUGUAGGUGUUCCUAGUGUAUUCUGGUGGUUGUGGAGACUUUCUCCAUAUCAGUGACCUCCUUGGGGUAUAUUUCUAAUAGUUGAUACUCUGUUAUAAUUAAUCUCUAGUUGUAUUAAUUCAUAGUUUCAUCAACAAGACUCUAUUGUAACUAUCGUAUCAUAACCUCACCAACAUUGACUAUUAUGGUCCUCAUUAUUACUCUCAUUUUACAGAUGAGGAAAUUGAGGUAGACAUGAUUAAAUUACUCAGGAUCACAUAGCUAUCCACUUUGCUACUAGAUGUUUUUAUAAGGGACUAAUCAAGAAAAGCUUGUUAUAGAAAGUAAGAUUUUCUCUGGGACUUAAAGGAAGCCUGGGAAGCAGAGAUGAAGAGGAAAAAUAUUCAAGGCAUUGGGGAGAACCUGAGCCAAGCAAUGGGUUGUCUGGAACAGCAAGAAGGCUAUUGAUUGGCAGAAGCCAGAAAAAAAAAAGUGUAAUCUAGUAAUCUAGAUGUAGUGUAAUCUAACCAGUCUGGAGAGCCAUAUGGAACUAUGCAUUUUUUAUAGUGCUGCUACAAACAUUUUUGCACAUGUGGGUUCUUUUCCCUCUUUUAUAAUCUCUUUGGGACACAGACUCAGUAGAGAUACUGCUGGAUCAAAGGGUAUGCACAAUUUGAUAGUCUUUUGGGCAUAGUUCCAUAUGGCUCUCCAGACUGGUUGGAUUAGUUCACAACUCCACCAACAAUGGAUUAGAGUCCCAGUUUUUCCACAUCCCCUCCAAUAUAUAUCAUUAUUUUUUCCUGUCAUCUUAACCAAUCUGAGAUGAGUAUAGUAGUACUUCAGAUCUCUUAAUUUACAUUUAUUUGAUCAAUAGUGAUUUACAGUAUUUUUUGUAUUACUAGAAAUGGUUUUAAUUUCUUCAUUGAAAUUUGUCUGUUGAACUAGAGAUCAUUACUGAUCACAAAAUAGAAAAUUUCGAUUAUACCAAACUGAAAAGUUUUUGUACAAACAAAACUAAUGCAGACAAGAUUAGAAGGGAAGCAAUAAACUGGGAAAAUAUUUUUACAGUCAAGUUGUUCUGAUAAAGGCCUCAUUUCCAAAAUAUAUAGAGAAUUAACUCUAAUUUAUAAAAAAUCAAGCCAUUCUCCAAUUGAAAA